rnacentral:lncRNA from 1 species
CCUGGAGGCCAACACACUUCACCGCGUCCGCCUGGGGCAGGUCAGAUAAGGGACCCGAGGCAGCGCUAUCACCGGAUUCCGUGAGCCGCAGCGCCCUGGGCCCCGCUGAUCUUGUAUCAUUUCAGGGACUUUCUCUCCAGUCUUUGAUGGGGCCACACUCGGGGAGUAAAUUAGGAUCCUCAUUGAAGGGGCAGGACCCUGGGGGGCUUUUUCCUGGCCUGUUAGUUGUGGGUUUUCCUUCGGACGGCGGAGCCCCUUUCCAUUAGAACGGCCCAGAGGCAGGCGCUGCCUUCCCGGGGAGACGGAGCAGCAGGAAGCGUUUUCAGAUCCUGGAAUCCGUGGGCGGCCCGUGGGAGGGACUGAGGCGCAUUUUCCUACUCACCUGGCUCGGAAUCCACCGCGGUGCUGUUUAAAGAGAGUCAGAUUCCAGGUCGCGCUCCAGCCCGGACUCGGAAUUCCUGCCCCGCGGGUCUGCAUUUCACAGCGGCAGGUACCAGGGCGGGGUGACGGGUCAUCCCAGUCCUCGCAGUGAACUCCGGGCCACAGACUUGAAAACGCGCGCGGGCGCCCAGCGCAGCCUCGUCCUGAGUUACACAAGCGACCGUGCUGGGACGUUUCUCUUUCUUUUCCGGACCCAGCAGUGGCGCCUAAAGUCUGCGAGGAGAAAAUCUCCUGUGUGCUGGGAAGUCCAGGAAUCGAAGGGCCCCACAGUCUUCAUUACAACCUCACAGUGCUGUCCCGGGAUGGAUCUGUGCAGUGAGGGUUUCUCGCUGAGGGACAUCUGGAUGGUCAGCCCUUCCUGCUCUAUGACAGGCAGAAAUGCAACGCAAGGCCCCAGGGACAGUGGGCGGAAGCGGUUCUGGCAGCUGAGACCUGGGACAUGGAGACUGAGGACUUGACAGAGAACAGGCCGUACCUCAGAAGGGCCCUGGUACAUAUCAAGGGCCAGAAAGGAGACUCAGGAAUGGACAGUAUCCCAGUCCUCCAGAGCUCAGACCUUUGCUAUGAACAUCACAAAUAUCUAGAAGGAAGAUGCUAUGCAGGCCAAGAUACACUCCCGCCCUGUAUGGGGAGACUUCAGGCAGAAACUACAGUGCAUCUGGAAUCUUGUGUGGGUGUCAGGAGAACAGAGCCACUGGAAAAAGACAGCGGGUCAAGGACUGAAGAGUCCAGUGUCAUAAUCUGGGGAAGCAGUGGGCCCUCUGACAGAAGCCUGAACCUGGGUGGGUGUCAGGCAGGAGAGGAAGCCCCAGGGCCAAGGCUGCCCCAUCUGCCUCCCAGCCUGCCCAUUCCAAAGAGUUCCUCUGGCCCCAUGUACCAGGAGCCCAAUCCUGACCUUCCCCUCCUCAGCAUCAAUGCAGGGAUCCCAGAGCAUAAAGACACAGUCUUGAGGCCCAUCCUUCUGCCAGCCUAG